rnacentral:rRNA from 1 species
CGCGCUUAAUACAUGCAAGUCGAACGAGAAGCCAGAGCUUGCUCUGGUGGAAAGUGGCGAACGGGUGAGUAACACGUGAGAAACCUGCCCCAAAGAUUGGGAUAAGCCUUGGAAACGAGGUCUAAUACCAAAUACCUUCCUUUUAACACAUGUUAAAAAGAAGAAAUGCUCCGGCGCUUUGGGAUGGUCUCGCGAUCUAUCAGCUUGUUGGUGAGGUAACGGCUCACCAAGGCAUCGACGGAUAGCUGGUCUGAGAGGAUGUCCAGCCACAUUGGAACUGAGACACGGUCCAAACUCCUACGGGAGGCAGCAGUAGGGAAUCUUGCACAAUGAGGGAAACCUUGAUGCAGCGACGCCGCGUGCGGGACGAAGGCCCUAGGGUUGUAAACCGCUUUCAGUAGGGACGAAAGUGACGGUACCUACAGAAGAAGCCCCGGCCAACUAUGUG